AUUGAACGCUGGCGGCAUGCCUAACACAUGCAAGUCGAACGGCAGCACGGCAGUAGCAAUACUGUGGGUGGCGAGUGGCGGACGGGUGAGGAAUACGUCGGAAUCUGCCCAGUCGUGGGGGAUAACUAGCCGAGAGGUUAGCUAAUACCGCAUACGACCGAGAGGUGAAAGCGGGGGACCGCAAGGCCUCGCGCGAUUGGAUGAGCCGACGUCGGAUUAGCUAGUUGGUGGGGUAAAGGCCCACCAAGGCGACGAUCCGUAGCUGGUCUGAGAGGAUGAUCAGCCACACUGGAACUGAGACACGGUCCAGACUCCUACGGGAGGCAGCAGUGGGGAAUAUUGGACAAUGGGCGCAAGCCUGAUCCAGCAAUGCCGCGUGUGUGAAGAAGGCCUCGG
rnacentral:rRNA from 1 species